CCUACGGGAGGCAGCAGUGAGGAAUAUUGGUCAAUGGGCGGAAGCCUGAACCAGCCAAGUAGCGUGCAGGAUGACGGCCCUACGGGUUGUAAACCGCUUUUGCACGGGGAUAACACCCUCCACUUGUGGAGGUCUGCAGGUACCGUGCGAAUAAGGGCCGGCUAAUUCCGUGCCAGCAGCCGCGGUAAUACGGAAGGCCCGAGCGUUAUCCGGAUUCAUUGGGCUUAAAGGGAGCGUAGGCGGGCGUUCAAGUCAGCUGUAAAAUCGCGCGGCUCAACCGCGCCCCGCAGUUGAAACUGGACGCCUUGAGUUCACAACAGGCAGGCGGAAUUCGUGGUGUAGCGGUGAAAUGCAUAGAUAUCACGAGGAACCCCGAUUGCGAAGGCAGCCUGCCGGGGUGCGACUGACGCUGAGGCUCGAAGGUGCGGGUAUCAAACAGGAUUAGAUACCCUGGUAGUC
rnacentral:rRNA from 1 species